UUAUUUGAUUAUAAUUUUCGACAUUUGUUACAGAGUAAGUUUGUAAGGUGCAAGUCCAGGGCCGAAGCCGAUGGGCCUGACAGACAGUUCACAGGUGUUAUGGAUGUGAUUCCAGGGCCGAGCACGAGGGCUCGACCCCACCCCUCGACCUUGCGGCCUCAGGGAAAUUUGAUUCACUAAUGAUCCUUCCGCAGGUUCACCUACGGAAA
rnacentral:misc_RNA from 1 species